AUUGAACGCUGGCGGCAGGCCUAACACAUGCAAGUCGAACGAGUGGCGGACGGGUGAGUAAUGUCUGGGAAACUGCCUGAUGGAGGGGGAUAACUACUGGAAACGGUAGCUAAUACCGCAUACCAUCGGAUGUGCCCAGAUGGGAUUAGCUAGUAGGUGGGGUAAAGGCUCACCUAGGCGACGAUCCCUAGCUGGUCUGAGAGGAUGACCAGCAACACGGGAACUGAGACAAGGUGCAGACCCCUAAGGGAGGCAGCGGUCGGGAAUAUUGGACAAUGGGCGGAAGCCUGAUGCAGCCAUGCCGCGUGUAUGAAGAAGGCCUUCGGGUUGUAAAGGACUUUAAGCGGGGAGGCGUUACCCGAAGAAGAAGCACCGGCUAACUCCGUGCCAGCAGCCGCGGUAAUAC
rnacentral:rRNA from 1 species